UAUGUUGUGUAUUUAUUGAUAUUGCAUAUCAUUUAAAGAAAAUUUUAUAAAAAUAAAUUAUUGAAUUAAGAGGUUGAAAAUCUGUUUGUUUUAUUGUUUCAUAAUAAAAAUUACAGUUUUUAGUGUUGAAAAGUCGACUCUUAGGAUAUCAGUUUUAGAAGAUUAAUUAGAAAUUUAUUAUGUUUUGAAAUUUGGUAUUAUAAAAAGUAAAAGUUGAAGUAUUUGUUUUACUAGUUUUAUAACAGUUUAUAAAAAUUAGGUUUGAAUUUAUUAGAGAAGUUUAUAUAAUAAGUUUUUAUUAUAUUAAUUGUUUUGAAAUUAGUAGUUUAAAUAUUAAUAUUGUUAAUUGGAAAAAAUAUAACUAAAAAACUCAAAGAUUAAUCAAAUGUUUUUUAAAGACUUAGACUUUUUAAUAAAGUUUGCUUCUGCCCAGUGAAAAAUUUAAAUGGCAGUCUUAGCGUGAGGACAUUAAGGUAGCAAAAUAAUUUGUGCUUUUAUUGAGUUCCAGUAUGAAUGAAGUUAUUGGUUAAUUAAUUUUUUAGUUUUGUAAUGAAUUUGUGUUUAAUUAUAAAAAAGUAUUAUUAUAAUAAUGCAAAGAUAAGUCUUCGGAAAUUCUAUUUUAAUUGUAAUAUUUAAAUUAUAAUUAAAAAUUUUCUAGGGCAGAAUUUUAUAUAAUUAUUAUAUCUAUUAAUAAUUUAAUGAAUUACUCCGGAGUUAACAGAAAAUCAUAUCUGAUCUAGUACUUAUAGUAAGAUAAGUUUUACAUCGAUGUUGUAUUUAAGUUUAUUAAAAAAGGAGAAGAUUUAAGUUUUAAGACUGUUCUUCUUUUAAUUAACUUAACGUGAUAUUAGUUUAAUUCAUUGUGAGAUAGAAUUGUUUAUCUUGAUUAUUAUUUAAAAUUAGUUUUAAUAGUACGAAAGGAAAAUUAAAAAAAGUUUUAAACUUUAUAAAGUAUUUGCU
rnacentral:rRNA from 1 species